rnacentral:pre_miRNA from 1 species
ACCAAAAAUUUAAGCUGAUAGUUGUGGCCCACGAAUAUGUUAUAUACUCUAUCAGUUUUAGACUCUCUGUUGUACCAUUUUCUUACAUAUUUGUCACAGUGCUUCCAGUGAUUUAUAAGUCAAUUGUUAGGCUUAUUGCUAUCCAAUUAAUGUAAAUUUUACAUCAUUUGGUGGAGAUAUUAGCAUUGACUAGGAUGCGGGAUUGGAGAGAUAUAUCAAUCACGCAGAACAUAUGACACAUAGCUAUUGUUAGCAUUACAAUGUGGA